GUGCCAGCCGCCGCGGUAAUACGUAGGCAGCGAGCGUUGUUCGGAAUUACUGGGCGUAAAGAGUGUGUAGGCGGUGUUCCAAGUCUGGUGUGAAAUCUCCCGGCUUAACUGGGAGGGUGCGCCGGAAACUGGAAUGCUCGAGGGUGGGAGAGGUAAGCGGAAUUCCUGGUGUAGCGGUGAAAUGCGUAGAUAUCAGGAGGAACACCGAUGUCGAAGGCAGGUCUCUGGGCUAACACUGACGCUCAUGCACGAAAGCGUGGGGAGCAAACAGGAUUAGAUACCCGGGUAGUCC
rnacentral:rRNA from 1 species